GGCCCCGCGGUGUGAAUCAUGUCAGACUGCAAAUCUGAAGUUGGCAGCUGCCCGGGGCUU
rnacentral:tRNA from 1 species